CUAACAUUCAUCCUAUCCAGUUGGCACACCACUGGAUAGCUGUCUGGUCACUUCACCUGUGGAGUACAACCAGCUGGAGGUGACCCUAGCAACAGAAUUCCAUCCAGGGUAUUCACAAUGGAAGCAUGGAAGCAUUAGCAGCUGAAGUUUCCCUCUGGUGUUAUAUUCCUGUCCAGAUCUGUCAACAACUGAAACUCUGUUGUCUGGAAGUUCCUACCUUGGUGGCCAGGAUGGGGGCUAAUGGCAAUAUGAAGGACCACAUCUAAGAUCCAAUGUGCAUGGCAGUUUCUGGAGAAUAUUUUGUGGUGGCUUUCUGGAUAAGUAAAAAUGUCUCCUGUUGCUGGUGUGAAGAGUGGUGAAAAGGCUGCACAGCAUUGGUGAGGGAUGAAAGACAAUUUGGAUGCAUUAUUGGAUAUCAAAAGUGCAAUGCUGGAGCCUUGGUCUACAGGAACAGAAACAAGACUUGCCUGGCACUGAGACAUUAUCCCUCCAAAAUACAAUCUAAACUGACCAACACCCUGGAUUCACCGGGAGCUUCCUGGAAAGGAGAAUUUUAAGAACAAGAACAGAAAAAAAGCCUGGUAAAAGCUGUAACUAGCUCUGCUUGUCUGUGCUAUGACAGCCAACAAUAUCACCUGCUGAUGAUUUACAGAUUCCUGGGAGAUGUGUUGUUGAGUCUCAAAGAACUGGAACAAGAACAACUCGCUCAAAUUGCUUCCCGUGAAAUAGCAUAAUGUAUCCACCCGCUUCAUGCUCUCCUAAUUUAGGACACGUGUAGUCUGUAAUGAUGAACUGGCCAACUGAUUAUGUUGCUGUAAAUCUCGUUCCCCACCUUACAAAAUACCCCUGAUUGACCUCAUUUUCAUGAUAGCUCAGUGCAGCAUUUCCAGUCAAUUUCUUGAGAGGGAGAAAAGUCCCACUAGCCACGCGCAAAAGCACUUCUCCAGAGUGAAAACUGCAACAUUUUGUUGUUUUUAUUUCACUGGGCAGCCUUUUCAAGUUCUGUGACCCACUUUUGCUUCCCUUUAAAUUGUGACCAGUACUUAUUUAUCCCUCUUUGAACACAAUAACUUAAUUAAGAAACUAAUCAGCAGUGUUGUACUGAUCUUUCAACUCACCCCUAUAUCUGAAGGAAAUGCAUAGUACAAGAAAGAUCCUAUUAUCUAAAAAGCUUUCUACUAAAAGCAUUUGGCAUCUAAAAAGUAAGACUUGAAAUUCUGCACUAAAUUUAUAAUGUAAAUAUGUGAACAUUAUUUAUGGAAUCUAAAAGGUACCCCAACUAAAUCUAACAACUUUGUCUGGAUUAUUUAUUAAAAAUAAAAUUGUCACAAGUUUAAA